GAUGAACGCUGGCGGCGUGCCUAAUACAUGCAAGUCGAGCGAACAGACGAGGAGCUUGCUCCUCUGACGUUAGCGGCGGACGGGUGAGUAACACGUGGAUAACCUACCUAUAAGACUGGGAUAACUUCGGGAAACCGGAGCUAAUACCGGAUAAUAUAUUCAACCGCAUGGUUCAAUAGUGAAAGACGGUUUUGCUGUCACUUAUAGAUGGAUCCGCGCCGCAUUAGCUAGUUGGUAAGGUAACGGCUUACCAAGGCAACGAUGCGUAGCCGACCUGAGAGGGUGAUCGGCCACACUGGGACUGAGACACGGUCCAGACUCCUACGGGAGGCAGCAGUAGGGAAUCUUCCGCAAUGGGCGAAAGCCUGACGGAGCAACGCCGCGUGAGUGAUGAAGGUCUUCGGAUCGUAAAACGCUGUUAUUAGGGAAGAACAAAUGUGUAAGUAACUAUGCACGUCUUGACGGUACCUAAUCAGAAAGCCACGGCUAACUACGUG
rnacentral:rRNA from 1 species